AACGAACGCUGGCGGCAUGCCUAACACAUGCAAGUCGAACGAGACCUUCGGGUCUAGUGGCGCACGGGUGCGUAACGCGUGGGAACCUGCCCUUAGGUUCGGAAUAACUCCCCGAAAGGGGUGCUAAUACCGGAUAAUGUCUUCGGACCAAAGAUUUAUCGCCUUUGGAUGGGCCCGCGUUGGAUUAGCUAGUUGGUAGGGUAAAAGCCUACCAAGGCGACGAUCCAUAGCUGGUCUGAGAGGAUGAUCAGCCACACUGGGACUGAGACACGGCCCAGACUGCUACGGGAGGCAGCAGUGGGGAAUAUUGGACAAUGGGCGAAAGCCUGAUCCAGCAAUGCCGCGUGAGUGAUGAAGGCCUUAGGGUUGUAAAGCUCUUUUACCCGGGAUGAUAAUGACAGUACCGAGAGAAUAAGCUCCGGCUAACUCCGUG
rnacentral:rRNA from 1 species